UACAGAGGUCUCAAGCGUUGUUCGGAUUCACUGGGCUUAAAGGGCGCGUAGGCGGGCGACCCGGUCAGGGGUGAAAGCUUUCGGCUCAACCGGAAGAGUGCCUCUGAUACCGGUCGCCUCGAGGGAGGUAGGGGCAUGCGGAACUUCCGGUGGAGCGGUGAAAUGCGUAGAUAUCAAGUGGAACACCAGUGGCGAAGGCGAAUCCCUGGAAAAUACCUGACACUGAGGCACGAAAGCUAGGGGAGCAAACAGG
rnacentral:rRNA from 1 species